rnacentral:lncRNA from 1 species
CCUGAUCAUGAGCAUCUCUUGAAAUAUUUACGUAAUGGAGGCUUCUGGACCCCACCCUAGUUCUACGGCAUACAAAUAUCCAGAGGAUAGGCCGAGGAAAUUGGAUGUGUACGCAGCUUCUCCCUGUCAUUCUGUCCACAUGACUUCUAUGGGGCUGCUAGACCUGGCUUCAACUCCAAAGCAGGGAUAAAAGCCAAGGAACUCAAAGGACGCCACUUUGGAGCAGAGAUAAAAGAAGAGAGACCCAACUCUACAUUUGGGGCAGACCAGGACCAGUGGUUCAAAGUUACAUAAGAAGCCAGUAUCUCCUUAUGAUGGGAACAGGAGGCAGAGAAAUUCUAGGCAGAAAAGGAAGGGGUCCCUGGUGAAGCCCCACCCUCAAGCCUAGAACCGUGGCCCAAAGUGAGAACAUCCCCAUUUUCCCACUCAAAUGUUGCCUUUUCCAAAACCACCCUGGCCCACCCCGUCCCCCAUCCCAUACCCAUAAAAACCCCAGGCUCCACUGGCAGAGGAGCAGCAGAGAAGGAGAGAAGAGAAGCAGCCAGACGUCAGAGAGAAGCAGCUUGACUUCAGAAGGAUGGCUUGACGGUGGGACUUUGGAGAAGAGCCUGGUCAGGGAUGGCCAGACUCCAGGGGAAGACCACCUGCCUGCUCCACCCCCUUUCCAGCUCCCCUUCCCACUGAAAGCCACUUUCAUCAGCAAUAAAAUCCUCUGUAUUCA